rnacentral:tRNA from 1 species
GCUUCCAUAGCUCAGUAGGUAGAGCACUUCCAUGGUAAGGAAGGGGUCGUCGGUUCAAAUCCGGCUGGAAGCUC